UGUAACUACAGGUUAUAAUACCAAUAACACUGUCCUACGGAUGAGAUCGAACAAAUUGUUUAAGCGUGAUAUAUAGCACGACCGGCCAUCUGGGAUAAUACACUCUUCACAGAGUGUAUUAUUUUAUUAUA
rnacentral:sRNA from 12 species